UUCUUUAUUCCCAUGUUUCACGUUCGGUAGACAUUGUUAUGUUGAGGUCCCAAGCCCCGAGGGGCGGGGGAACGGUUCACGGUGUGUGUGUGGCAGAAGCCGGCCUCACGGCCAAUCUCUAAUGAUCCUUCCGCAGGUUCACCUACGGAAA
rnacentral:misc_RNA from 1 species